rnacentral:rRNA from 1 species
AUUGAACGCUGGCGGCAUGCUUUACACAUGCAAGUCGGACGGCAGCACAGAGAAGCUUGCUUCUUGGGUGGCGAGUGGCGAACGGGUGAGUAAUAUAUCGGAACGUACCGAGCAGUGGGGGAUAACUAAUCGAAAGAUUAGCUAAUACCGCAUAUUUUCUGAGGAAGAAAGCAGGGGACCAUAUGGCCUUGCGCUGUUUGAGCGGCCGAUAUCUGAUUAGCUAGUUGGUGGGGUAAAGGCCUACCAAGGCGACGAUCAGUAGCGGGUCUGAGAGGAUGAUCCGCCACACUGGGACUGAGACACGGCCCAGACUCCUACGGGAGGCAGCAGUGGGGAAUUUUGGACAAUGGGCGCAAGCCUGAUCCAGCCAUGCCGCGUGUCUGAAGAAGGCCUUCGGGUUGUAAAGGACUUUUGUCAGGGAAGAAAAGGAUAGGGUUAAUACUCCCUGUCUGAUGAACGGUCCUGAAGAAUAAGCCCC